rnacentral:rRNA from 1 species
UGGGGAAUAUUGCGCAAUGGGGGAAACCCUGACGCAGCAACGCCGCGUGAGUGAUGAAGGCCCUCGGGUCGUAAAGCUCUGUCGGCAGGAACGAUGGGUUUACUGGCUAACAUCCAGUAGACUUGACGGUACCUGCAAAGGAAGCACCGGCUAACUCUGUGCCAGCAGCCGCGGUAAGACAGAGGGUGCAAGCGUUGUUCGGAAUUAUUGGGCGUAAAGGGCGCGUAGGCGGUCUGUUAAGUCGAAUGUGAAAGCCCAGGGCUUAACCUUGGAAGUGCAUCCGAAACUGGCAGACUAGAAUCUCGGAGAGGGUGGUGGAAUUCCCAGUGUAGAGGUGAAAUUCGUAGAUAUUGGGAGGAACACCGGUGGCGAAGGCGACCACCUGGACGAAGAUUGACGC